rnacentral:rRNA from 1 species
ACAAGGGUUGAGAGGAAAGUGGAUGAGGGAAGCUUGUUCCAGAUUUAGCGGCGGACUGGUGAGUAAUGCCUAGGAUCUGCCUAGUGGUGGGGGAUAACGUUCCGAAAGGAACUUAGUACCGCAUACGUCCUACGGGAGAAAGCGGGGGAUCUUCGGACCUCGCGCCAUUAGAUGAGCUUAGGUCGGGAUUAGCUAGUUGGGGAGGUAAUGGCCUCACCAAGGCGACGAUCCGUAACUGGUCUGGAGAGGAUGAUCAGUCACACUUGAAACUGAGACACGGUCCAGACUCCUACGGGAGGCAGCGUUGGCAAAUAUUGGCCAAUGGGGCGAAAGCUUGGAGCAACAGGAUUAGAUACCCUGGAAGUGCACGCCGUAAACGAUGUCAACUAGCGUUGGGUACCUUGAGUACUUAGUGCGCACUAAGCAUUAAGUGCCGCUUGGGAGUACGUCCGCAAGGUUAAACUCAAUGAAUUACGGGGGCCCGCACAAGCGUGGAGCAUGUGUUUAAUUCGAAGCAACGCGAAGACCUUACCUGGCCUUGACAUGCUGAGAACUUUCCAGAGAUGGAUUGGGGCCUUCGGGAACUCAGACACAGGUGCUGCAUGGCUGUCGUCAGCUCGUGUCCUGAGAUGUUUGGUUAAGUCCCGUUAACGAGCGCAAACCCUGUCCUUUAGUUACCAGCGGGUUAUGCCGGGAACCCUAAGGAGACUGCCGGUGACAAACCGGAGGAAGGUGGGGAUGACGUCAAGUCAUCAUGGCCCUUACGGCCAGGGCUACACACGUGCUACAAUGGUCGGUACAAAGGGUUGCCAAGCCGCGAGGUGGAGCUAAUCCCAUAAAACCGAUCGUAGUCCGGAUCGCAGUCUGCAACUCGACUGCGUGAAGUCGGAAUCGCUAGUAAUCGUGAAUCAGAAUGUCACGGUGAAUACGUUCCCGGGCCUUGUACACUCCGCCCUUCUAAAGGAGGGGAGUGGGUUUUCCUGUUACCACUGGACUCACAAGUGGUGACAAGGGAAUUUUCUUGGGGAGCCU